CUAUACAUGACUCUGCGCAUAUCAAUAAGCGGAGGAAAAGAAACUAACAAGGAUUCCCCUAGUAACGGCGAGUGAAGCGGGAAGAGCUCAAAUUUGAAAUCUUAAAGGGUUUCCCUUUACGAAUUGUAGUUUAAAGAAGUGUUUUCUGUUGAGGUUUUGGUAAAAGUUCUUUGGAAUAGGACAUCAUAGAGGGUGAGAAUCCCGUAUUUGACCUUUACUUUCAGCUUUGUGAUACACUUUCAAAGAGUCGGAUUGUUUGGGAAUGCAGUCCAAAAUGGGUGGUAAAUUUCAUCUAAAGCUAAAUAUUGGCGAGAGACCGAUAGCGAACAAGUACCGUGAGGGAAAGAUGAAAAGAACUUUGAAAAGAGAGUUAAACAGUACGUGAAAUUGUCAAAAGGGAAGCGUUUGACACCAGUGUUGUUUUUCUGAAAAUCAAUUAAAGAACUGUUUAUGCUAAGCUGUUUAGACUUUAUCAGCUAUCUGUUUAGUUUUGAGCUUUUCUUUAAUGCACUUUUCAGUUAACAAGUCAACAUCAAUUUCUUUUGCUGUAAAAAAGCUUGAGGAAGGUGGCUUGAGAUUCGUCUUAAGUGUUUAUAGCCUCUUGCCUAUGCAGUCGGAGAGAUUGAGGUCUGCAGCGUAGAUCCUUCGGGGCUAAAUGCAUUUGUGCUAAGUUAUAGCAUUUUAUAGACAACUUGUUGACUAUGAUUUGUCUUGUAGCUUACUCGCUUAUGUUAUUUUACCUACGCUUAGGAUGUUGAGCGCAUGUCUCUCUCU
rnacentral:rRNA from 1 species